rnacentral:rRNA from 1 species
AUUGAACGCUGGCGGCAGGCCUAACACAUGCAAGUCGAGCGGAUGAAGGGAGCUUGCUCCUGGAUUCAGCGGCGGACGGGUGAGUAAUGCCUAGGAAUCUGCCUGGUAGUGGGGGAUAACGUCCGGAAACGGGCGCUAAUACCGCAUACGUCCUGAGGGAGAAAGUGGGGGAUCUUCGGACCUCACGCUAUCAGAUGAGCCUAGGUCGGAUUAGCUAGUUGGUGGGGUAAAGGCCUACCAAGGCGACGAUCCGUAACUGGUCUGAGAGGAUGAUCAGUCACACUGGAACUGAGACACGGCCCAGACUCCUACGGGAGGCAGCAGUGGGGAAUAUUGGAAAAUGGGCGAAAGCCUGAUCCAGCCAUGCCGCGUGUGUGAAGAAGGUCUUCGGAUUGUAAAGCACUUUAAGUUGGGAGGAAGGGCAGUAAGUUAAUACCUUGCUGUUUUGACGUUACCAACAGAAUAAGCACCGGCUAACUUCGUG